rnacentral:rRNA from 1 species
AGCUUCAGUAGCGUAUAUUAAAGUUGUUGCAGUUAAAAAGCUCGUAGUCGCAUUUCUGGCGAGAGGAUCCGGUCCGACCUUUUGGUGGGUUCUUGGGUCUCUUUCGCCAUCCUUGAGUGGUCCGUUCUGGCAUUAGGUUGUCGGAGCGUCAGCCGCUCAUCGUUUACUGUGAGAAAAUUAGAGUGUUCAAAGCAGGCUUAUGCCGUUGAAUAUAUUAGCAUGGAAUAAUAAGAUAGGACCUCGGUACUAUUUUGUUGUUUUGCGCGCCAAGGUAAUGAUGAACAGGGACAGUUGGGGGUAUUUGUAUUUCGUUGUCAGAGGUGAAAUUCUUAGAUUUACGAAAGACAAACUACUGCGAAAGCAUUUACCAAGGAUGUUUUCA